AAAGUCGUAACAAGGUCUCCGUUGGUGAACCAGCGGAGGGAUCAUUACAGAGUUGCAAAACUCCCAACCAUUGUGAACCUACCUCACCGUUGCUUCGGCGGGUGGCCCGGCAAAACCGGGCCGCGCCAGCUCCCGCUCAGGGAGUCGGCAACCCGUCAGAGGACCGAAACCAUCAGUCAUCAGUGGCCUCUCUGAGUAACUUAUACAAUAAGUCAAAACUUUCAACAACGGAUCUCUUGGUUCUG
rnacentral:misc_RNA from 1 species